rnacentral:tRNA from 1 species
CCAAAGUGCAAAUUUGGGAGAGCACCCUAACGGGUGCCCGGGCUUCUCCCGUUU